CCUGACUGCUAUCGGAUUGAUACUAAGCCAUGCGAGUCAUUGUAGCAAUACAAGGCAUACGGCUCAGUAACGCGUAGUCAACCUAACCUAUGGACGGGAAUAACCUCGGGAAACUGAGAAUAAUGCCCGAUAGAACACUAUACCUGGAAUGGUUUGUGUUCCAAAUGAUUUAUCGCCAUAGGAUGGGACUGCGGCCUAUCAGUUUGUUGGUGAGGUAAUGGCCCACCAAGACUAUUACAGGUACGGGCUCUGAGAGGAGUAGCCCGGAGAUGGGUACUGAGACACGGACCCAGGCCCUAUGGGGCGCAGCAGGCGAGAAAACUUUGCAAUGUGCGAAAGCACGACAAGGUUAAUCCGAGUGAUUUGUGCUAAACGAAUCUUUUGUUAGUCCUAGUAACACUAACGAAUAAGGGGUGGGCAAGUUCUGGUGUCAGCCGCCGCGGUAAAACCAGCACCUCAAGUGGUCAGGAUGAUUAUUGGGCCUAAAGCAUCCGUAGCCGGCUCUGUAAGUUUUCGGUUAAAUCUGUACGCUUAACGUACAGGCUGCCGGGAAUACUGCAGAGCUAGGGAGUGGGAGAGGUAGACGGUACUCGGUAGGAAGUGGUAAAAUGCUUUGAUCUAUCGAUGACCACCUGUGGCGAAGGCGGUCUACCAGAACACGUCCGACGGUGAGGGAUGAAAGCUGGGGGAGCAAACCGGAUUAGAUACCCGGGUAGUCCCAGCUGUAAACUAUGCAAACUCAGUGAUGCAUCGGCUUGUGGCCAAUGCAGUGCUGCAGGGAAGCCGUUAAGUUUGCCGCCUGGGAAGUACGUACGCAAGUAUGAAACUUAAAGGAAUUGGCGGGGGAGCACCACAAGGGGUGAAGCCUGCGGUUC
rnacentral:rRNA from 1 species